UGCGAAGGGGGCUAGCGUUGCUCGGAAUCACUGGGCGUAAAGCGCACGUAGGCGGCUUUCUAAGUCAGGGGUGAAAUCCUGGAGCUCAACUCUGGAACUGCCCUUGAAACUGGUGACCUUGAGUACGGGAGAGGUGAGUGGAAUUCCCAGUGUAGAGGUGAAAUUCGUAGAUAUUGGGAAGAACACCGGUGGCGAAGGCGGCUCACUGGCCCGUAACUGACGCUCAGGCGCGAUAGCGUGGGGAUCAAACAGG
rnacentral:rRNA from 1 species